UACCAGCACCCCGAGUGGUCGGGACGAUUAUUGGGCCUAAAGCAUCCGUAGCCGGUUUUACAAGUCCUCCGUUAAAUCCAACUGCUCAACAGAUGGGCCGCGGAGGAUACUAUAAGACUAGGAGGCAGGAGAGGCAAGCGGUACUCAGUGGGUAGGGGUAAAAUCCGUUGAUCCAUUGAAGACCACCAGUGGCGAAGGCGGCUUGCCAGAAUGCGCUCGACGGUGAGGGAUGAAAGCUGGGGGAGCAAACCGG
rnacentral:rRNA from 1 species